rnacentral:rRNA from 1 species
UACAGGGGGAGGGACAGCUGUUCGGUGAAUUACUGGGCGUAAAGGGCGCGUAGGCGGCCUGCUAAGUCGAACGUGAAAUCCCCGAGCUCAACUCGGGAACUGCGUCCGAUACUGGCAGGCUUGAAUCCGGGAGAGGGAUGCGGAAUUCCAGGUGUAGUGGUGAAAUGCGUAGAUAUCGGGAGGAACACCAGUGGCGAAGGCGACUUCCUGGCCUGUUCUUGACGCUGAGGCGCGAAAGCUAGGGGAGCAAACGGG